rnacentral:rRNA from 1 species
AUUGAACGCUGGCGGCAGGCUUAACACAUGCAAGUCGAGCGGAGAUGAGGUGCUUGCACCUUAUCUUAGCGGCGGACGGGUGAGUAAUGCUUAGGAAUCUGCCUAUUAGUGGGGGACAACAUUCCGAAAGGAAUGCUAAUACCGCAUACGUCCUACGGGAGAAAGCAGGGGAUCUUCGGACCUUGCGCUAAUAGAUGAGCCUAAGUCGGAUUAGCUAGUUGGUGGGGUAAGGCCUACCAAGGCGACGAUCUGUAGCGGGUCUGAGAGGAUGAUCCGCCACACUGGGACUGAGACACGGCCCAGACUCCUACGGGAGGUAGCAGUGGGGAAUAUUGGACAAUGGGGGGAACCCUGAUCCAGCCAUGCCGCGUGUGUGAAGAAGGCCUUAUGGUUGUAAAGCACUUUAAGCGAGGAGGAGGCUACUGAGACUAAUACUCUUGGAUAGUGGACGUUACUCGCAGAAUAAGCACCGGCUAACUCUGUGCCAGCAGCCGCCGUAAAAC